rnacentral:rRNA from 1 species
CCUACGGGUGGCUGCAGUGGGGAAUCUUGGUCAAUGGGCGCAAGCCUGAACCAGCGAUGCCGCGUGAGUGAUGAAGGCCUUCGGGUUGUAAAGCUCUGUGGGGAGGGACGAAAGAAUCGGUUCUAACAGGACCGAAGUUGACGGUACCUCCUUAGCAAGCACCGGCUAACUCUGUGCCAGCAGCCGCGGUAAGACAGAGGGUGCAAACGUUGCUCGGAAUUACUGGGCGUAAAGGGCGUGUAGGCGGGAAGGCAAGUCGGGCGUGAAAUCCCCAG